AUACUUACCUGGCAGGGGAGGUACCUUGAAGGUGGUUUUCCCAGGGUAAGGCUUAUGCAUUGCACUCUGUAUGUACUGACCCUGUGAUUUCCCCAAAUGUGGAAAACUCAACUGCAUAAUUUGUGGUAGUGGGGGACUGCAUUCAUUCUCUUCCUUG
rnacentral:snRNA from 1 species